ACAUAAAAGAAGAGGGGGCAAUGUAACCACAAAAGCAGAGAUUGAAAUGAUGUGGCCACAAGUCAAGGAAUGCAACAGCCACCAGAAGCUAGAAGAAGCAAGAAAUGAAUACUCCUCUCAAGUCUCCUGAUGGAGCAGAGUCCUGCUGACCCUUUGGUAUCAGGCUCUGGUAGAGGCCAAGGACGUGCAAUGUUCCUCGUUAUGCAAUUCCAGCGUAUACAGCCAUGAACGACUCCCUUUGACAAGUAACAUGGUGUCAUUUCCUUAAACUGUG